AUUGAAAGCUGGCGGCAGGCUUAACACAUGCAAGUCUAGCGAGCGGCGGACGGGUGAGUCAUGUCUGGGAAACUGCCUGAUGGAGGGGGAUAACUACUGGAAACGGUAGCUAAUACCGCAUACCAUCAGAUGUGCCCAGAUGGGAUUAGCUAGUAGGUGGGGUAAUGGUUAACCUAUGCGACGAUCCCUAGCUGGUGUGAGAGGAUGACGAGGCACACGGGAACUGAGACACGAUCCAGACUCCUACGUGAGGCAGCAGGGGUGAAUAUUGCACAAUGGGCGCAAUCCUGAUGCAGCCAUGCCGCGUGUGUGAAGAAGGCCUUCGGGUUGUAAAGCACUUUCAGCGAGGAGGCGUUACUCGCCGAAGAAGCACCGGCUAACUACGUGCCAGCAGCCGCGGUAAUAC
rnacentral:rRNA from 1 species